rnacentral:rRNA from 1 species
GGAUGUGAUGGGGAGCGAAAUUUAGUAGCGAAGUAGCUGAUUUCACACUGUCAAGAAAAGUCUCUAUCGAGGUUAAAGGUACCCGUACCGCAAACCGACACAGGUGGGUGAGGAGAGUAUCCUAAGGCCAGCGAGAGAACUGUUGUUAAGGAACUCGGCAAAAUGACCCCGUAACUUAGGGAUAAGGGGUGCCACCAUCAGGUGGCCGCAGAGAAUAGGCCCAAGCGACUGUUUACCAAAAACAUAGGUUUCUGCUAAGUCGCAAGACGAUGUAUAGGAGCUGACGCCUGCCCGGUGCUGGAAGGUUAAGGGGAUCUGUUAGAGCAAUCGAAGCAGUGAACUUAAGCCCCAGUAAACGGCGGCCGUAACUAUAACGGUCCUAAGGUAGCGAAAUUCCUUGUCGGGUAAGUUCCGACCCGCACGAAAGGCGUAACGAUUUGGGCACUGUCUCAACAACAGACUCGGUGAAAUUGUAAUUCCGGUGAAGAUGCCGGAUACCUGCGACAGGACGGAAAGACCCCAUGGAGCUUUACUGUAGCUUGACAUUGGGUCUUGGUACUACAUGUACAGGAUAGGUGGGAGGCUUUGAAACCAGGACGCCAGUUUUGGCGGAGCCAUCCUUGGGAUACCACCCUUGUAGUACUGGGACUCUAACCAUAGGCCAUGAAUCUGGUCUUGGGACACUGUCAGGUGGGCAGUUUGACUGGGGCGGUCGCCUCCCAAAAGGUAACGGAGGCGCUCAAAGGUUCUCUCAGUACGGUCGGAAAUCGUACGUAGAGUGUAAAGGCAAAAGAGAGCUUGAUUGCAAGACAUACAGGUCGAGCAAGGAUGAAAAUCGGACUUAGUGAUCCGGUGGUUCUGCGUGGAAGGGCCAUCGCUCAACGGAUAAAAGCUACCCUGGGGAUAACAGGCUUAUCUCCCCCAAGAGUCCACAUCGACGGGGAGGUUUGGCACCUCGAUGUCGGCUCAUCACAUCCUGGGGCUGUAGUAGGUCCCAAGGGUUGGGCUGUUCGCCCAUUAAAGUGGUACGCGAGCUGGGUUCAGAACGUCGUGAGACAGUUCGGUCCCUAUCCGUCGCAGGCGUAGGAAAUUUGAGAAGACCUGUCCUUAGUACGAGAGGACC